UUACGGCCAUAUCACGUUGAAACACUGUUUCUCGUACGAUCACCGAAGCUAAGCAACGUCGAGCUGGAGCAGUACCAAGAUGGGUGACCGCUUGGGAAUACCUGGUGGUGUAAG